rnacentral:rRNA from 1 species
CGGCUUGCUGGUCCGAUACUGACGUUGAGGCACGAAAGCGUGGGGAGCAAACAGGAUUAGAUACCCUGGUAGUCCACGCCCUAAACGAUGAGUACUAAGUGUUGGUGAGAAAUCAGUGCUGAAGUUAACGCAUUAAGUACUCCGCCUGAGUAGUACGUACGCAAGUAUGAAACUUAAAGGAAUUGACGGGAGCCCGCACAAGCGGUGGAGCAUGUUGUUUAAUUCGACGAUACGCGAAGAACCUUACCAGGUCUUGACAUCUAGUUGUUAGGUAUGGAGACAUGCCGAGAAAGACUAAGACAGGUGGUGCAUGGUUGUCGUCAGCUCGUGUCGUGAGAUGUUGGGUUAAGUCCCGCAACGAGCGCAACCCUUAUUGCUAGUUACUAAUAUUAAGUUAAGGACUCUAGCAAGACUGCCAGUGAUAAAUUGGAGGAAGGUGGGGAUGACGUCAAAUCAUCAUGCCCUUUAUGACCUGGGCUACAAACGUGCUACAAUGGCUGAAACAAAGAGAAGCGAAGCUGUGAAGCAGAGCGAACCUCAAAAAAGCAGUCUCAGUUCGGAUUGAAGUCUGCAACUCGACUUCAUGAAGUGGAAUCGCUA